rnacentral:rRNA from 1 species
UACAGGGGGUGCAAACGUUGCUCGGAAUCAUUGGGCGUAAAGCGCACGUAGGCGGUUCGUUAUGUCGGAUGUGAAAGCCCUUGGCUUAACCGAGGAAGUGCAUCCGAAACUGGCGAGCUAGAGCACUAAAGAGGAUCGCGGAAUUCCCGGUGUAGAGGUGAAAUUCGUAGAUAUCGGGAGGAACACCGGUGGCGAAGGCGGCGAUCUGGGUAGAUACUGACGCUGAGGUGCGAAAGCGUGGGGAGCAAACAGG